AACGGGCUCUCGGCGCCGGGAGAGCGGCGUCUGCCGGCGGCCCCCUACCACAGAGAAAACAGCGCUCGUAGUCGGUUCCAGCGAGUCGCACCGGUACAGGCUGCGGUGCUCACCGAGGCCCGUCAGCGGCCUUGUCCUCCCCCCGGGGGGGGUUGUGCUGCAGGAGCCGGCGGGGCCGGUGUGCCAGUUGACCCAGGACACGGGAUUUUCCCCACCUGACGCGAAUUCAUUUGCUUCAGCAAGUGGCCCUGGCCUCCCUGCUUCUCUGACGGCCGUGUGUUUUGUGCCUUUUAACUGGUCACCCCUCACAGCAGUGGUUUUAGGUCUAAACAGGGCCAGCAGCAGCGUUUCUCCUUUUCACUACGCUGGCAGGAGUGUGCUAGUACGGUCAAAAGUAACAAAACCAGCUCUUGGUCAUGAGAUUUGCCCAAAGGUACCUCUUGGAAGCUAACUCGCUUGCAAAGCAUUUUAGAGUAUAGCCAUUCCUUCCUACCUGCCGCAUAUUACUUAUUAACUGUGGCCAACUGUUGGCAUUUGAAAGUAGGCCGGGGGUGAAUGCUUUGUUAAAAUCCACCUUGAAAAACACAUUAUGUGAGACAAUUUUUAAAGUGCAAAUUCUGUAAAUAUAGCAGAAAGAUAGCAAAAAUGGAGACCUGGCAAAUUUCUGGUAAAAACUGCUGUUUGCCGUUUUAUCUGGAUAAAAAUGUAUUUUAGUUUCUGUAUUCACAUGUGUAUCCCCUUUCUGAAAAAUGUGGCUUUCAAAACAGGGAAGACGGGACAGGAAAUGCAACAGCAUCUUUUCGUUGUCCGUUGGAUUGUAUGUUCAUGUUUGUUCCUGUGAGCCUCGAAAUGCUGUACUUUGUACGCACCACUUUGCCUUCACAGUGUGUCACCACAAGAUAAGAAAAUGAAACUAAACUUUCUGUCUCUGGCUGACCGAAGCUGGGACCGCAAGACUUUUUCUCCGUGUAAAUAUUAGCCAGCUAUUUGAAGACACACUGUCCGUGAAGAAUAUUAAUUAUGUACCAGGAAUCAAGCCAUAAUGUAAACCCAGUUUAUUUGGCAAAAGCAGUACAUAUUGUUCUGCUCCUAGGGGAGAAAUAUGGGAGUGGGGAAAUCUGGCUCCUCCUGAAACAACUAUAUUUGUAAGUUAGAAUGCUCGUUCAUACUAAUUACAGGAACGAAACCAAUAAUACGAGCAAAACUGCCUUGAUGAGGAUGUCAUGUGGUCCAAGGCCACCCUCAAAACCAGAUUUGCUGUUUACUGAUCAGCAGAGGACCAAGCCUGACAGGAGGCGAAGCAGUUUGCUGCCGUCCGGAACACACGCAGCUCCCUCAGACUGUGUACACCCUGCGUGCCUGAGCAGAUCCAGUAUUUUAGUGUAUUAGGAGUUUGUCUUUACUGGGCUUCGUAUGAAGCCAGAAGUACUUCAGCAAGGUCUACAGGCUGUUGGUGAGAAGCUGCCCAUGAGGCCCCCACGCUGAUGAGUUGUGGGAACACUCCACGCUCGAAGCAAUUCUUGAAACAGCUCAUUAAGAGAGGCACAGAAAUGCCCAUUGAGUCUAUCCUUGGGCUCUCAAAUGAAAAGAUGCAGCUGGGGAUUUUGCUGGUAUAAAACCCACUGAAAAGCCUCUAGACUAAACCUACAUGUAUCACACUUGUCUCAAGAAUCACCAGCAACCGAUAAUUAAAGAAGUUUUGCGGGAUAGUUGUGAAAUUACAGUGCUACAUGAGAAAAUAUAUCAAGGUUUUGCACCGUUGAUGCGUCUUGGAAGACCGACAUGUCUGCCCCAAGCCAGCCGUGACCAGCCAGCAGAAGGGCAAUGAAUGAACGUUCCGGUUUUUUGCUGCUGUA